AGUACCGCAAGAUCAUCAAGUAUUCAGAAUCCACCCACAACUCAGCAACCAGGAAAAGGACGGAAGCAGCCACCAAAAACGCCAGAUCCUGAUGAAGAUGAAAAUGUCCAUUUUGGUUUGAUAAUCACUUUGAUUGUACUCUCCGUCCUCAUCCUGUCCGUUACCAUCGCUCUUCUGUACAUGAAGUUGCGACCCUCAAGAAAACCAAGUCCAAUGCCAGAUGUCACGAGCCCUGUUGAAUGCAGUCAACCACCACGUCAGCAUUACAAAACCAUAUCACAGAAUCGUCCUCAAUCCCCUCCGCCUAGGUACGAGACAAUAAGUCCCAUUCCAGAAAGCAGCAAAACUAUCCUUGGAUCGUCUGAGUUCCGACCUCAAAGUGC